rnacentral:rRNA from 1 species
CUUUAAAACAAAGACUACUGAACAAGCCCCAUCCCAUCUGAUCUCGGAAGCAAUGCAGGGUCGGGCUUGGUUAGUACUUGGAUGGGAGACCACCUAGUAAACCAGGUGCUGUAGGCG